GAUGAACGCUGACAGAAUGCUUAACACAUGCAAGUCUUUGGCGAAGCUGUGCUUGCACAGCCUAGCCAAGUCGGACGGGUGAGUAACGCGUAAGGAACUUGCCCUGCAGUCAGGGAUAACAGACGGAAACGACUGAUAAGACCUGGUAAAGUCAGGCGGACUCAUGUCCAGCCUGAUGAAAAGAGAUGCUGCAGGAGAGCCUUGCGUCCUAUUAGCUUGUUGGUGGGGUAACGGCCCACCAAGGCGAUGAUAGGUAGCCGGCCUGAGAGGGUGGACGGCCAAAAGGGGACUGAGAUACGGCCCUUACUCCUACGGGAGGGAGCAGUGGGGAAUAUUGGACAAUGGGGGCAACCCUGAUCCAGCAAUUCUGUGUGAACGAUGAAGGUUUUCGGAGUGUAAAGUGCUAUCAGCAGGGAAGAAAAAAUGACGGAACCUGCAGAAGAAGCGACGGCUAAAUACGU
rnacentral:rRNA from 1 species